rnacentral:rRNA from 1 species
CGAACGCUGGCGGCGUGCUUAACACAUGCAAGUCGAACGGAAAGGCCCUGCUUUUGUGGGGUGCUCGAGUGGCGAACGGGUGAGUAACACGUGAGUAACCUGCCCUUGACUUUGGGAUAACUUCAGGAAACUGGGGCUAAUACCGGAUAGGAGCUCCUGCUGCAUGGUGGGGGUUGGAAAGUUUCGGCGGUUGGGGAUGGACUCGCGGCUUAUCAGCUUGUUGGUGGGGUAGUGGCUUACCAAGGCUUUGACGGGUAGCCGGCCUGAGAGGGUGACCGGCCACAUUGGGACUGAGAUACGGCCCAGACUCCUACGGGAGGCAGCAGUGGGGAAUAUUGCACAAUGGGCGGAAGCCUGAUGCAGCAACGCCGCGUGCGGGAUGACGGCCUUCGGGUUGUAAACCGCUUUCGCCUGUGACGAAGCGUGAGUGACGGUAAUGGGUAAAGAAGCACCGGCUAACUACGUGCCAGCAGCCGCGGUGAUACGUAGGGUGCGAGCGUUGUCCGGAUUUAUUGGGCGUAAAGGGCUCGUAGGUGGUUGAUCGCGUCGGAAGUGUAAUCUUGGGGCUUAACCCUGAGCGUGCUUUCGAUACGGGUUGACUUGAGGAAGGUAGGGGAGAAUGGAAUUCCUGGUGGAGCGGUGGAAUGCGCAGAUAUCAGGAGGAACACCAGUGGCGAAGGCGGUUCUCUGGGCCUUUCCUGACGCUGAGGAGCGAAAGCGUGGGGAGCGAACAGGCUUAGAUACCCUGGUAGUCCACGCUGUAAACGGUGGGUACUAGGUGUGGGGUCCAUUCCACGGGUUCCGUGCCGUAGCUAACGCUUUAAGUACCCCGCCUGGGGAGUACGGCCGCAAGGCUAAAACUCAAAGGAAUUGACGGGGCCCCGCACAAGCGGCGGAGCAUGCGGAUUAAUUCGAUGCAACGCGUAGAACCUUACCUGGGUUUGACAUGGAUCGGGAGUGCUCAGAGAUGGGUGUGCCUCUUUUGGGGUCGGUUCACAGGUGGUGCAUGGCUGUCGUCAGCUCGUGUCGUGAGAUGUUGGGUUAAGUCCCGCAACGAGCGCAACCCUUGUUCACUGUUGCCAGCACGUUAUGGUGGGGACUCAGUGGAGACCGCCGGGGUCAACUCGGAGGAAGGUGGGGAUGACGUCAAGUCAUCAUGCCCCUUAUGUCCAGGGCUUCACGCAUGCUACAAUGGCUGGUACAGAGAGUGGCGAGCCUGUGAGGGUGAGCGAAUCUCGGAAAGCCGGUCUCAGUUCGGAUUGGGGUCUGCAACUCGACCUCAUGAAGUCGGAGUCGCUAGUAAUCGCAGAUCAGCAACGCUGCGGUGAAUACGUUCCCGGGGCUUGUACACACCGCCCGUCAAGUCAUGAAAGUUGGUAACACCCGAAGCCGGUGGCCUAACCGUUGUGGGGGAGCCGUCGAAGGUGGGACUGGUGAUUAGGA